rnacentral:rRNA from 1 species
AGUGAACGCUGGCGGCAGGCCUAACACAUGCAAGUCGAGCGGCAGCGCGGGGGCAACCCUGGCGGCGAGCGGCGGACGGGUGAGGAAUUCGUCGGAAUCUGCCUUUUUGUGGGGGAUAACGUAGGGAAACUUACGCUAAUACCGCAUACGUCCUACGGGAGAAAGUGGGGGACCGCAAGGCCUCACGCGGAAAGAUGAGCCGACGACCGAUUAGCUAGUUGGUGGGGUAAAGGCCCACCAAGGCGACGAUCGGUAGCUGGUCUGAGAGGAUGAUCAGCCACACUGGGACUGAGACACGGCCCAGACUCCUACGGGAGGCAGCAGUGGGGAAUAUUGGACAAUGGGCGCAAGCCUGAUCCAGCCAUGCCGCGUGUGUGAAGAAGGCCUUCGGGUUGUAAAGCACUUUUGUCCGGAAAGAAAUCCCUGGAGCUAAUACCUUCGGGGGAUGACGGUACCGGAAGAAUAAGCACCGGCUAACUUCGUG